rnacentral:rRNA from 1 species
UACGUAGGGUCCAAGCGUUAUCCGGAAUCACUGGGCGUAAAGCGUUCGUAGGCGGGUAUUUAAGUGAGAUGUGAAAGCGUGUGGCUCAACCAUAACGUUGUGUCUCAUACUGGGUACCUGGAGGAAGGCAGAGGCAAGUGGAAUUGGCAGUGUAGCAGUGAAAUGCGUAGAGAUUGCCAGGAACACCAAUGGCGAAGGCAGCUUGCUGGGCCUUUUCUGACGCUGAGGAACGAAAGCGUGGGGAGCGAACAGG